UACGUAGGUGGCAAGCGUUAUCCGGAUUUACUGGGUGUAAAGGGAGCGUAGACGGCAGCGCAAGCCUGAUGUGAAAGCCCGGGGCUCAACCCCGGGACUGCAUUGGGAACUGCCCUGCUGGAGUGCCGGAGGGGCAGGCGGAAUUCCUAGUGUAGCGGUGAAAUGCGUAGAUAUUAGGAGGAACACCAGUGGCGAAGGCGGCCUGCUGGACGGUGACUGACGCUGAGGCUCGAAAGCGUGGGGAGCAAACAGG
rnacentral:rRNA from 1 species